UACGCAGGGGGCUAGCGUUGCUCGGAAUCACUGGGCGUAAAGGGUGCGUAGGCGGGGCUUUAAGUCAGGGGUGAAAUCCUGGAGCUCAACUCCAGAACUGCCUUUGAUACUGAGGAGCUUGAGUACGGGAGAGGUGAGUGGAACUGCGAGUGUAGAGGUGAAAUUCGUAGAUAUUCGCAAGAACACCAGUGGCGAAGGCGGCGCACUGGCCCGUUACUGACGCUGAGGCGCGAAAGCGUGGGGAGCAAACCGG
rnacentral:rRNA from 1 species